rnacentral:misc_RNA from 1 species
GAUGAAGAACGUAGUGAAAUGCGAUAAGUAGUGUGAAUUGCAGAAUUCAGUGAAUCAUCGAAUCUUUGAACGCACAUUGCGCCCCUUGGUAUUCCAUGGGGCAUGCCUGUUCGAGCGUCAUUUGUACCUUCAAGCUCUGCUUGGUGUUGGGUGUUUGUCUCGCCUCUGCGUGUAGACUCGCCUUAAAAUAAUUGGCAGCCGGCGUAUUGAUUUCGGAGCGCAGUACAUCUCGCGCUUUGCACUCAUAACGACGACGUCCAAAAGUACAUUUUUACACUCUUGACCUCGGAUCAGGUAGGGAUACCCGCUGAACUAAAGCAUAUCAAUAAGCGGAGGA